GGUAAGAUGGCCGAGAGCAAGGCGGUGGCUUGUAGUCCCAACAACAGAGGUUAAAGCCCUCUUCUUACCA
rnacentral:tRNA from 1 species